UGAACGCUGGCGGCAGGCCUAACACAUGCAAGUCGAGCGGAUGAAGGGAGCUUGCUCCUGGAUUCAGCGGCGGACGGGUGAGUAAUGCCUAGGAAUCUGCCUGGUAGUGGGGGAUAACGUCCGGAAACGGGCGCUAAUACCGCAUACGUCCUGAGGGAGAAAGUGGGGGAUCUUCGGACCUCACGCUAUCAGAUGAGCCUAGGUCGGAUUAGCUAGUUGGUGGGGUAAAGGCCUACCAAGGCGACGAUCCGUAACUGGUCUGAGAGGAUGAUCAGUCACACUGGAACUGAGACACGGUCCAGACUCCCACGGGAGGCAGCAGUGGGGAAUAUUGGACAAUGGGCGAAAGCCUGAUCCAGCCAUGCCGCGUGUGUGAAGAAGGUCUUCGGAUUGUAAAGCACUUUAAGUUGGGAGGAAGGGCAGUAAGUUAAUACCUUGCUGUUUUGACGUUACCAACAGAAUAAGCACCGGCUAACUUCGUG
rnacentral:rRNA from 1 species